rnacentral:rRNA from 1 species
AACGAACGCUUUCGGCUUGCCUAACACAUGCAAGUCGAACGAUCCCUUCGGGUCUUGUGUCUCACUGGUGCUUAAUGCGUGGGAACCUGCCCUUAGGUUCGUAAUAACUCAGAGAAAUUUUAGCUCAUACCGCAUCAUGUCUUCGCUCCCAAGAUUUCUCGCCUGUGGCUGGGCCCGCGUUGGAUUAGCUAGUUGGUGGGGUAAAGGCCUAACAAGGCGACGAUCCUUAGCUGGUCUGAGAGGAUGAUCAGCCACACUGGGACUGAGACACGGCCCAGACUCCUACGGGAGGCAGCAGUGGGGAAUAUUGGACAAUGGGCGAAAGCCUGAUCCAGCAAUGCCGCGUGAGGGAUGAAGGCCUUAGGGUUGUAAAGCUAUUUUACCCGGGAUGAUAAUGACAGUACCGGGAGAAUAAGCCCCGGCUAACUCCGUG